UUAAUAUUUCCCCCAAAUAUACGGUUGGUGUGGUGAAGACUGGGUGUCGCCGCCAUUAUCGUAGCAGAAGCUAUGGACUUCCGAUGGCCUCAACGGACCUCGCCUCCGCUAAAUAUCAUGGCAUGGUGGUGCCGCCCAAUUUUAUCUUGAUAAAUUAUGCCAAUCGUUGCUUGUUUCAGUCCUUGGUGUGCUUGCGGAAAACCAAAGAGAGAUAGAGCUUGCAGGAAAACCAGAGAGAGUGCGCCUGCGGGAAAACGAGAGAGAGAGAGAGAGUGCGCUUGCGGGAAAACCAAAGAGAGGAAAACUAGAAAGAGAGUGUGUGGACCUACGGGAAAACCAGAGAAAGAUUGGGAGAUUACUAGUAACAAAUCCAUCAUUAGCGUGGAGAACGACCCUAAUGUUGGACGAAGUGGAGUGAGUAAGAUAAGGGAGGUGAAAGUGUUUUGCGUAUGUAAUCAAUCAGUAACAAAGCCACCAUUUCCCAGGUUAUAUGCUCAAUGCUCUGAAAAAAGUUCCUUUUUUUUCAUGAAAGGCCCUUGUUCUGUUUUCUCUUGUUUUAGUUCAACUGCAACUCUGAACAAUUUGUAUUAGUUUUUUGUUUGGUGGAUAGAUUUGUGGAUUUCGCUGGCUUUUGACUCCGCUCAGAGAACACAUAUGGUUGUGAAAAUUUGAGAGUAAUUUAAGAGAUUCUUCCUCUUUUUUUUUU